UUGUGAAAUGUUGGGUUAAGUCCCGCAACGAGCGCAACCCUUUUCCUUAGUUGCCAACAAGUAAAGGUGGGAACUCUAAGGAGACCGCCGGUGACAAACCGGAGGAAGGUGGGGAUGACGUCAAGUCAUCAUGGCCCUUACGGCCAGGGCUACACACGUGCUACAAUGGUGGAUACAGAGGGUAGCAAGCCAGCGAGGUGGAGCAAAUCCCAAAAACCCGAUCUAAGUCCGGAUUGCAGUCUGCAACUCGACUCCAUGAAGUGGAAUCGCUAGUAAUC
rnacentral:rRNA from 1 species